AUGAUUGGCUGGUCCCAGGAACCAGCAAGUGUGGCUGCGCUCCAGGGUGUGUGGACGCCGCUUUGUUGCCUGAGGGGGGUGGCGGUGGAAGUUCAGGGGGUCGAGGGUUACCGCUCCUCUAGACCAGCAGUUGCGGCCGCUGCAGUCACUUCGCCCGGUAGCCUUUAGCCUAGGAGUCGCGCCGACAGCAGCCAUGAGCGGUGGCGUGUAUGGGGGAGGUGAGUGAGCGCGUUUAGACGAAAGAGCGCGCCUUUUCCGCGUGUAGGGUUUGUAACCACCACCGCUAGUCCUCCCCUCCACGGCGGUCCCUUCCGGUCUCCCCCUCUCGGGACCCCGGCCUCCCCGCCCCAUCCCCGCCCCGCGCUCUGCCCGCCCACGGAGCCUACGGGCACAACCGGCACCUCGGGCGCCAGGCAGUCGCCGCUCUCUCGACUCCUGUCUGUCUCUGGACACCGAGGAGCGGGGUUUUGGGGGUGUGCGCUCCGUCCCCGAGGGACGUCCCGGUUGAAUGACCGGCAUCCAGGGUCACUUCUCCCCGAGGGUCUGCAGAACGCCGCUGUCGGGUUGUGUGUUUGUGUGUGCUUGUGUGUGCGUGCGCGCGUGUUUCAACUUGGGAGGUCCUGGUAGCUUGCUAGCGUGGACCUAGGGUUUCCGCAACGUCCCACAGACUGCAAAGCCGGCGCGAGGGCAGAACUGAUUGGAAGAUGCGUCCUCCCGUGGUCUGCGUCCAGAGCUCGCGCGGCCUCACACCUUUCAGUAACUCCUGCUUAUUUGUUGACUGCGACGUUACUUGUGGCGGGACUGCUUGCGAUUAAUUUGGAACACAUGUAAUUUAAGGAUGACCAGAAAGUUGACCUGGGCCUUAGGCGCCUGGUCUUUCAUGGUCUUUGGAUAGGCUGUGAUGUAGCAGAUGACCACGCCUGCGAAUUGUGGUCCUGGAUUGUAGUUCCAGCCUGUUUUAGCUUGGGCUUGGACAGUUUUUAAUAACCUUUUUCCAACUUCUGGCUCAUUUGUGGAAUAAUUUUUAUCCCUUGGUGUGUUUGAGAAGAUCCCCAAGUGCUAGGAAGCACCAGUGUAUAUGUUUUGGAUUGUGUUCAGUUGAGUUAGAGACCUACUCUACAAAGCGAAAGUAUUGUGGUUGUUACAGUUUCUAAUAAGGAUCCUGUUUCUGAAGAGGAUGGCAUUUUACACGUAAGGAAUAACAAAAAUAAGGUUAUAAAGAAUAGUUUUGGGUGGAUAAUUGCAGCAUCUCUUCCGAUGUGGUAAAGCUGAUCCUCACCUCCUUCCUCCCUGUUAUGUUUUUCCUUUUGGUUGCUUAGUGUGGGUAGUUUCCCAUUUUUUUUUUUUUCCUUUUGAGAAGGCCCAGCAGAUGUUCAUGAUUUACCUCUUUCCAGUCUAAAGGUGCAAUCCUAAAGAAAAACUGGAUCUUGCUUUUGCCUUGUAGAACUAAUUGACUAUAUUAUGACUUUCAUGCUUACUGACCCAAAGAGCUGGAAACUAUCCAUUAUUUCUUACAAGGCAGUGUUUGUGACUAAGUUAGAAAGGAAUAAUAGUAAUGCCAGUAGAUAACAUUUAUUGAGUACAUACUGUAGGCCAAGAACCAUUCCAAAGACUUUAUAAGCAUUGCAUUUAAUAAUACAUUAAUUCGUUUAAUUAAUUACAAUUGUAUGAAUUGGUACUGCUGUCUCCUGUUUUUGAAGAAAUUACAUAACUUCUUACUAAGUUGGGAACAAAGAUCCUGGGAUGAAGAAAAGGCAUCUCAGUAAAACCUUUUCCGUUCUUAAAAGAAAGUUACUUGGAAUGCAUUCCACUGUCAUAUAUAAAAAAUUAAAUUAAAAAUAUUAUUAGACUCAAAAAAAAAGUUACAUACUCCCAUGUGACUUGGCCAAGUGCUUUGAAGGAGACGGAAAGUGAGGUCAGGAAGGGUAAAUCAGGCCUACUUCCAUCUCUGUACUGAUUUCCUCCCAUGGCCAACCAGAUGACCCAGGAAGAGACCAGAGAAAAUUAUUAACAGAGAGGCAGUCCUGUCAUGGGACUUCAAGGAGAUAAGCCAAGUUCAGUCCUCCAUCAGUGUUGGAGAGAGCAAGAAGGAAUGGGGCAUGCCUCAGAAAAACAUAAAGGUUACCCAUGACUUGGCAUGACCUUUCCUAGCCACUGCUCCAUGUUGAGGGCCAUAAUGUAAAUCUGUGUUAUGCCUUAAGAAUGAAGGUUUCUCAGUUCGUGGAAUGUUUCUAAAAAUCUGUUUCUACAUUUGAGGAACAUUAGUAUUGCCUGCUACCCACCAAGUUCACCAAAAUGUUUCCUUGCAUGUUUACUACUAUUAGUCAGAACCUGGUUAGAUUAAUCUUUGUCCUAGAAUUAUGAACUGUGUUUUAAACUUUACUUUGGGAAAUAUUUAUUGUUUUAGAGAAAUUUCAACACAAUGGAAUGACUUCUCAUAAAGGAAAACAAAACUAUGAUUAUUCUAGUUCUUCUUAUCAGCCUUCUUUUUGUUUGUUUUUUUUUGGGGGGGGGUUCUUUUAUCUAACUAUUUAUUAUUGUCUUUUUUGGAACUGGAGGUCAAACUCAGGACUUUGGGGAUGUGAGGCAGAUGUUUUGCCACUGAACUACAUCCCAACCCCAGCCUUCCUUCUUUUAACAUUUCUUGUUAGCCUUUUUUUUUUUUGGUCAUUUGCCAAGAUAAAUGGACUUGAUGUCAAAAAAUAAAAAUUUGGGAAAAUUAAAAAAAAUAAAAGAAAGAAACUUACUUAAUUUCUUCUCUGUAAGUCAUUUUUCAUGUCCACAACUGCAGCAUCAUCAUGUAUGGUUUAAGUAUUGAGAAUUAACUUCCUGCUUCUUACUGGUUUAUAUAGAGAAAUAUAUCUGAAAGACUGUUUUGUAUAUAUAGUAUUUAAAACUCAUAAGUUUGAUUUGUGUUUGUAUAAUAUUUGUGUAGGUAUAAUAUUUAUGAGUCAUUUUCCAAAGUUUACUGUAAAAACCAUCUAAACCUUCCACUUGAAUUUUGAGUAAUUAACUUAAACUGUAUUUUUAACCUGAUUGCUUAUUUAAAAAGACAUUUGUAGUUUAAAUUUUUAAAAUUUAUGCCUGUUUUCUUCUACUGAUUACUUGUGACUGAUAAUUUGUAACUGGUUUCUGGUCCUACUCAUGCAGCCAUCUUUCAUGGUACUUCUUCUCUUCUUCCAACUCCUUCACAUGAUAAAAAUAAACAGGUAUACUACUAGCCUAA